rnacentral:rRNA from 1 species
AGCUUGGGGUGUUUAGCUCAGGUGAAGCCUGCCCGGUGAGAUUUUAACGGCCGCGGUACUUUGACCGUGCUAAGGUAGCGUAAUAAUUUGUCUUUUAAUUGGAGUCAGGUAUGAAAGGCUUUAUGGGGGAAGUCUGUUUCUAAAAAGUUUCAUAUAAAUUACUGUAGAGGUGAAAAAGCCUUUUUGUUUACGGAGGACGAGAAGACCCUUUGAAUUUUUAUUUUACCAGUUUAUUUGGUUAAUAUUUUAGUUGGGGCGGCUAGAAUACAGAGGCUAUUAUUGCCUUUGACAAAUUUUUUGUUUAUUGCCACAUGAAAAUUUUUUUGAGAGUGAAUAAAUUACCAUAGGGAUAACAGCAUUAUUCUUUAAGAGUUUGUGACCUCGAUGUUGGACUAGGAAAGAAGAUAGUUAGAAGCUAUUUUUAGUUGGUUCUGUUCGAACUUUGAUUCCUACAU